rnacentral:lncRNA from 1 species
AUGCCUUUCCGUAGAUAGGGAACUUCAUCUUUGUUGGUCAUCACGCCUGCUAUGUCUAAAUGUGCCCACUUAGGAUGAGUUACGAAUUCUUUCAGGAAUGCUGCAGCUGUACAUGCUCCUGCAGAUCUGAAGAGAAAGACAAAAAGCACUUUACAACCCCAUGUAAAUGUGCACUGAGAUCCCACAUUUUUGCUAAGUACAUUCUAUAACCAAAGAACAAGAGUCAAGCUUGUAAGACCUAUUAAGAUGCUAACCCACAUAUCAGUUUCAGAAUAUUUAUUUUCAGAUAUUGCUUUAAGCAGUAAAGGAUAAAUUCUAUAUUCCUUUUUGCUAUGGUAAUGAAUUCCCAUAUUUUCCAUCUCUUUCCCUUACCAUUUAUUGAAAAUUACCAUUAGAUUAGAAAUAUGCAAAUUUUGAAAUCUGGUUGAAGAAAUACUUGAAAAUUCAAGACAUUAAAAAUCUUACAAGCACUACACCAAAAGGAAAUUAAAUAGUUAAACCUUUUAUAUAAGGGGAUAAAAUUGAAAAUAGCUAUUUUGGCAAUCAAGGAUGAUUGUAUAAAUGUACAUUUAGCUUAGCUUACAUACCUGUAUUUUCCAAUGUUGUUAACAUCAGCAAGCUGGCAAUCUACAACCUGUCUUGUAUAAUGUUCGAAGAGAGGCAUCCUCCAGACACGGUCCCCUGUUUCAAUGCUGGCCUAGAGAACAGGUAUGACAGGUGGAAGAGUGGAUGAGGCAGGUUGUGGGAAAUUCAUGGCAUUAACAUGCUCAAUGCAUGAAGGAAGAGUUGUUCUAACCUGUUACUCUAAAACAUGAAACUAGAAAAUAGGUUUCAGAAUUGUGUCCACUCAUUAAAAGAUUUAUUUUAGAACUAUAAAAGAAACCAGGAGGCUGGGGACAGUGGCUCACGCCUAUAAUCCCAGCACUUUGGGAGGCCGAGGCGGGUGGAUCACGAGGUCAAGAAAUCGAGACCAUCCUGGCCAACAUGGUGAAACGCUGUCUCUACUAAAAAUGCAAAAAAUUAGCUGGGCGUGGUGGUGCGCGCCUGUAGUCCCAGCUACUCCGGAGGCUGAGGCAGGAGAAUUGCUUGAACCCAGGACGGGGAGGUUGCAGGGAGCCAACGGAGUGCCACGGCACUCCAGCCUGGCGACAGAGCGAGGCUCCGUCUCAAAAAUAAAUAAAUAAAUAAAAAAUAAAAAGAAACCGGGAAUGCUGUGAAGCAAUUUCACAAAUCUGUAGGGCAUUUUGCUAAAAUCAUCAAACUACAAUUACAGGCUUUGUGGGUUGAUGAGGGUGAAAGAGUUCUUAUGUGGCGGGUCACUUCUAUGUGACAGAAACACACGACUGGACCUGUAUCACUGAAAUCCUGAGACAGGAUGACCACAUUCAUUCAUUCAUCACUUACCCACUCACUCAUUCAUCGUUUACUGAACUACUGAGCACCACCAGGUGUGCUGAAAUACUACCAUCUGAGCCACCCAAGGGCCUACAGGCUAGUAGGAGAAACAGAUACAUAAACAGAUUAUUUAACUCACUGGUAAAAAAUCAAAGACCUAAAAGUGAAAAAUCAAGAAGCAGCAAUAUAAGCUGUUAUUUUAAGACAUAAGUAAAUACCAGAUGAAUCAGCCAAGGGUUGAAAGUGGCUGCCUUCUGGAAAACAGACUGUGGGCUGCUGAUUGUUGAUUUAUGCACAUAUAACUGAGAUUUUUUUUUUAAAGCUUAAAUGUUUUUUAAAAGUCAAAACAACAAUAUUGUGGGUGCCAUGAAAGAGAGGGAUAACGGUUAUGUGGGAGGCCAGAGGAGAGGUUCCUGGCCCGGCCUGGAAGAAGAUGAUGGGGCUGAGUAUUGCAGAACUGGGAAAAUUGGGCUUCGUGAAUGAUGACAUAUAUGAAGGAGAAGCAGUUUAGAGUGAAAAUAAGUUUAGACCUUAAACCACCCUCAGGAUUAUAUUUGGGGACAUUUUAUGUUUGUCUCCCCUCCCACUGGCACAGAGUAAGCUCCCAUUAAUUACUAGUUGAAUGAAUGAGUAAGCAGCCAGCUGGAGCUGUCUAGCAGCCACAUGGGUACACAGAGGCUGGGACUCGGGAGAGAGAUGGGAGCCAUCAGGCAACAUGUGUUGGCUGGAGCUUCCAUGUGAGGAAUGUGUAGAGUAGGAAGAGCCUAUGGCCUUGAAUUGAACACCAGCCAAAGGGCGGCCAAAGGGAACAAACACGUCAGGAGACAGGAGCAGGAGAAUCACAGGAGGCAGCCCAAGAAAGGAUUAUCACAGAAGCUGAACCAGGUGUCAGGAGGCCACAGAGUCACCUGCUGCCUCAAGACAGGCUGAGUUAGGCUAACAGUGGUGUGGACAUUCGAAAACCAAUGGCAGUAAGUGAGGGUGUGUGUGUGUGUGUGUGUGUGUGUGUGUGGAAGUGAGGGUGACUGCUGGGAAGAGGCUGGCUGUGAAGGGCAUGGAGGGAGGCACAGAGCACAGCGGUCUGAAGACAUCCUCAUCGAUGCAGGGUGAACUCCCUUAUAUGACUCACGACACGCAGUCACAAACGCUGCUCCACAAAGCCAUCUUCAAAACCAUUUCUACCUCAGGGAUUCUAAAACUAUGACCACAGUGUUCGUGAGAUAUUUUCACAGGACGCUGAGGCUACCGGAGGGGAGCAGGGGGCAUCAUCCCCUCCUUUAGGAGCAUUUGUGGAAAACCCAAUGCCACUGAACUCAAUCUAUUGCUGUGGUUCAUUUUCAAUUCAAAGGCAAACCUGCGGCAUAAAAAUCACUUUAACACAGGGUUGAAGAAGUCUAUCCUUCUAAGGCUAGAAUAAUUUAUUCACCAUCUCUACAAUUUAGAUAUACAAAUAUUAUUCCUACCUCGAAGAGUUUGUUCCAGAGCCAGGAUGAAUUGGUAAAGACCCCAGUGGCACCUGAUCCCAAAGCUACAUCCAUGGCACCUGUAAGACACAAGCCCUCAGGUCACGUGCAGUCUCUCCAGGCAAAAUGGGCUCCUCCGCCACCCAGAUGGAAACCUUAGCAUGUACCCUAUUUAAUGGCUUCCUCAUUUUCAAAAAUAGAUAAGCUUAGGAAAUCUUUCCUGUACAUACUUAACAUAUUUUUAUGUUUUUCAGGCCAGAAUUCACUUAAAUUAUUAGGAAAUGCAAAAAAGGAACCUACUGAAUUUGACCAAUAAUUUCAUUUUAGGGAUAACUGUUAACCUAUUUUUGAAAUUUCCUUCCAGACAUCUAAACCUUUUUUUUUUUUUUUUUUUUUUGAGAAAGGUCUCACUCACCCAGGCUGCAGUGUAGUGGUAUGAUCAGAGCUCACUGUAUGCAGCCUCAAACUCCUGGGCUCAAGUGAUCCUUCCGCCUCAGCCUCCUGAGUAGCUGGAAUUACAGGUACAUGCUGCCACACCCAGCUAAUUAAAAAUUUCUUUUUGGGCCGGGCAUGCUGGCUCACGCCUGUAAUCCCAUCACGGGUGGGAUCACCUGAGGUCAGGAGUUCGAGACCAGCCUGGCCAACAUGUAGAAACCCCGUCUCUACUAAAAAUACAAAAAUUAGCUGAGCGUGGUGCCUGUAAUCCCAGCUACUCAGGAGGCUGAGAUAGGGAGAAUUGCUUGAACCCAGGAGGCGGAGGUUGCAGUGAGCUGAGAUCAUGCCAUUGCACUCCAGCCUGGGUGAUAGAGCGAGAUUCUGUCUCAAAAAAAAAAGAAAGAAAGAAAAAAAAAAAAGGCCAGGCGCAAUGCCUCACGCCUGUAAUCCCAGCACUUUGGGAGGCUGAGGCGGGUGGAUCACCUGAGGUUGGGAGUUUGAGACGAGCCUGACCAACAUGGAGAAACCCUGUCUCUACUAAAAAUACAAAAUUAGUCGGGCGUGGGGUGCAUGCCUGUAAUCCCAGCUACUCAGGAGGCUGAGGCAGGAGAAUCGCUUGAACCGCUUGAACCUGGGAGGCAGAGGCUGUGGUGAGAGCCGAGAUUGCACCAUUGCACUCCAGCCUGAGCAACAAGAGCGAAACUCUGUCUCAAAAAAAAAAAAAAAAGAUUUCUUGCUGUAGAGAUGGGGUCUCAUUAUGUUGCUCAGGCUGGUCUUGAACUCCUGGGCUCAAGCAAUCUUCCCAUGUCAGCCUCCCAAGGCACCAGGAUUACAAGCAUGAGCUAUCAUGCCCAGCCCAACUUCUAAAUUUUCAUAAAAAACAAGGCCAUCCUGUAUGUGCUCAAGCAUGUGUUCCUCCUUUUUUGAGACAGAGUCUUGCUCUGUUGCCCAGGCUGGAGUGCAGUGGUGCGAUCUCAGCUCACUGCAACCUCCACCUCCCGGGUUCAUGCCAUUCUCUCCCGCAGCAUCCUGAGUAGCUGGGACUACAGGCACAUGCCACCACACCUGGUUAAUUUUUUUUGUAUUUUUAGUGGAGAGGGGGUUUCACCGUGUUAGCCAGGAUGGUCUUGAUCUCCUGACCUCGUGAUCCACCCACCUCGGCCUCCCAAAGUGCUGGGAUUACAGGUGUGAGCCAUCGCGCCUGGCUGUGUUCUUCCUUUUAUGCUUUAAAAAUUUAUCCUAUUCCUCUUUGGCUGGGCGCGGUGGCUCACACCUGUAAUCCCAGCAUUUUGGGAGGCUGAGACGGGUGGAUCACUUGAGGUCAGGAGUUCGAGACCAGCCUGACCAACACUGUGAAACCCCGUCUCUACUAAAAAUACAAAAAUCCGAGUGUGGUGGCGCAUGCCUGUAAUCCCAGCUACUCAGGUGGCUGAGGCAGGAGAAUGGCUUGAACCCAGGAGGCAGAGGCUGCAGUGAGCUGAGAUCGUGCCACUGCAGCCUGGGCAACAGAGUGAGACUCCGUCUCAAAAAAAAGAGAAAAAAUUAUUCCUCUUUUAUAAACAAAUGUUGGAAAAUAUUUUUAAUGAUGUAAAAAUAGUCCACUGGAUGGAGAUAUCAUAAUUUAAGGAAUCUAAUUUUUCAGCAAUUUUAAUCACAUCUAAGUACUGCUAUAAGACUUUGAUGGCUGUUAUUACUGCAUAAUAUUUACUUGUUUCAUCUUUAGUUUUUUCUCCAACAAAGUUGUGUCCCAUUGGCUGACUUCUAUUUUUACAUUAAUUAGCAUAUUUUUAAAAAAUCAACUUAAAAAUCCAGAUUUGCAGGUCCUCUUGAGAAGAGACAAUCAGGUACAGCCACUUAGUGCUGCCUCCUUUAGUUGUGGUAUGAGCUCCUAGUAAUCUCAUUUGUUAUUUGCCUGGCCCAUCUGUAAGCGCUGAGUCAAGGAACACGUCUGCUUCCUAGGCAUAUCCUUAGGGCCCAGAAAGCACACUGCCUGGCAUAAAGGAGCUAAGUAUUUAUUGAAAGGAAAAGCAAACCUUACUAUCCUUCAGUAUCAGGACAAGCACUGAACCCACCACCAUCAGUACCAGGACACACAUAUGGAAUGUCAGAGGAGGCAGCACUGAAACUGGGGGCAAUCUAUAGUCUUCACAAGGUGGCAUUUGCUCCCUGCAAUGCAAAGUAUGUCCAAGUUGCUCCUUAAAUUCUUAACCAUGUCUUUACAUGAAACUGCUCAUUAGCAUCUCUCCCAAGGAAAACUGAAACUUGAAGAUAGUACUAACUAGUCAGCCCUCCGUAUCCGUGUGUUCUGCAUCUAUGGAGUCAACCAAAUAUUUUGGAGUCAACAGAAAUAUGACUAUGUUCUGUUGACUAUGGAGUCAACAGAAAAUAUUUUGAAGCGGGGGAGAUGGCUGCAUCAGUACUGAACAUACACGGACUUUUUUUCUUGUCAUUAUUCCCUAAACAAUACAGUGUAACGAAUAUUUACAUAGCAUUUACAUUGUAUUAGGCAGUAUAACUAAUCUAGAGAUGACUUAAGUGUACUGGAGGAUGUACAUAGGUUAUAUAUAAAUACUAUGCCAUUUUACAUAAGGGAUGUGAGCAUCGUGGGUUUGGUAUCUGAGGGGGGAUCCUAGAACCUAUCCCCCACGCAUACUGAGGGACAAUAUAUACAUACCUAUUAAUACUUUACAAGUUAGUGGUUUUUUAUAUAAUUAUUCACUUGUCCUCAAAAUAUUUCAGUCAACCCCCUAAGAGUCAUCUAUCAGUUUUAAAAUUUGUCAUAGAAAAGAUGAACAAUCCCCUCAAACAAGACCAUGCUAUCUUCCCUUAAAGUAAUAAAAAAUGGCAGACAUAAGUAUUUAAGGUGGUCCAGUUGGGACCACGGCUCUAAAGAUGAUUUUAUUAUAUAGCUAAAUAGUUUAUUCUCUAUAAUUCCAGAAUUAUUUCCACAGCCCAUUUCAGAACUACUAGUAGCAGAGGCAUACUUCCCAUUUUUAUUUACAAGGCACGUUUGGAGCCCUGUGUUGUGAUGCUCACUGAUCAAUGUUACCAGAAUUGCUCAUAGUCUGGAAGAAACAUCAAAGCCCCAAGGAAAGUGAGGAUAGCACCACACUCAUUCAAUCCUAAAUUAUGCCCAAGCAUUAAGAAAAUGAAAAGAAACACUGUGAUUGGAUAUGGCCAUCCCCGAAUAUGUCACUGUUCCUACAAUCUGGGGUACGGCCUGCCUUUCAAAGGCAAAGGACAGUAACAUCUGUUUCAGUGUCUAUGAUGUACUGGGCCAUGGACAUCAACCUGUAUUGUCUCAUUUAAUCUUCACGGCAUCCUUCCUGUGAACGAGGUGCUAUUAUACCCCUUUUAUGGAUGAGACAACUAAAGCCUAGUCCAACUUUUAACGUGCUAUUAAAAGUUAGGACAAGUUUUAAAAUCAGGUCUUCUAUUUCUGAAGACUGUGUACUUCCUCCUAUCAAGAGCCUGAGUUUAGAAACUGGUUCUUAUUCUCCUCUUGGAACCCUAGCUUCUGGAACUCAGAAGGGGCUCAGUAGUAUUUGGGGAACCAUCACCUGGUGUGGUCUGAAAGCUCACCCAGAAGGUCACCCUUGCUUACGUAGGGCCAACUUUCCCACCUUCUCAACCCCUCAGACUGAGAAAAAAGUGGGGUAGAAUGCUGCUAUUAAGCAUCUAGGAAAAGUAUUCCCCAAGUGGUAAUUAUGAACGUUAUGUUUAAAUUGUAGAACUUGACGUAUCUGAUGUAUCUAUCCUCUGUGAUUCCUCAUUUACAGUAAGGGGGUACUCGCUUCACUGCCAGUGCCUCCCCCAACCCCCCACCCUAGAAGCUCUGCUUUUCAGGUAAAGUGUUUGCUAAACUGAAUAGAUAGACCAAAAACCAUGAAAACACUAUAAUGCCAGCUUUGAAAAAAAACUCUUAGCAAUAGACCUGUGGACUAUUUUUAGACCUACAUACAAAAGGGAACAUGAUUUCUGCCAAAGUAAAGGCUCAACAUGACCAGGGCAAGAAUAAAACCAAAGGAUAAAAAAUGAUCUAAAUUUUCAUCUUAAAAGAGGUAGAGUCUGACUUUAAGAUUCAGAAAUUAAUUUUUUUUAAAAAGGGGUAGAGUCAGGAUGAAUUACUAGGAAGAGAACAUUUGGAUGCAAGAUUAUGAACAUUGGGAUUUGGCAAUAAGACAACACUUGUUUGUCAUCCCUUUAGGAAUCUAUUCCCAGCCCUCCAGGGCUGGUGGUGUCACAGCCUGUAUUAAAGAGGCUUUCAAGAAACUCCCUCCAGCCUUUACAGCUCUUCCAAGCAAAUGGAAUUGUCCCCAAGUACCAAUGCUCAAAAGGGCCAAGAAACUUGCCCACGGCUAACUGACUAGUAAGUGGCACAGCUGGGAGUUCCACCUGAGCCUGGCCUUAAAGCGCUGGCUUCACACUGUGUCACUUGUUAAAUGAGAAUCCUGCUACUCUGGUAAAAUGUUUUUAUUUCCUUAUGACAUCAAGUAUAAAAAGUUCCAGAAGAAAAAAAAAAAAAAAGUAAAGCUCUGAAAGCUCAGAGGGUAUUAGAUACAUUACAAUUAGUUUAAAAAAGUAAAAGAAAGCUAUUGACUUGGGGAUUUAUCACUAAUCUUUUCAGAUCUGUAUCAAAUGGUAAUUGUAACAGAAACAAUCUCUUAACAUCAUUUAUUUUAUUUUAUUUUAUUUUUUAAGAGGGAGUCUCGCUCUGUCACCAAGCUGGAGUGCAGUGGCAUGAUCUCGGCUCACUACAACCUCCACCUCUGGGGUUUAAGCAAUUCUCCUGCCUCAGCCUCCCGAGUAGCUGGAAUUACAGGCACGUGCCACACACCCAACUAAUUUUUGUAUUUUUAGUAGAGACAAGGUUUCACCAUGUUGGCCAGGAUGGUCUCGAUCUCCUGACCUCAUAAUCCAUCUGCCUCGGACUCCCAAAGUGCUGGGAUUACAGGUGUGAGCCACCGCUCCUGGCUCUUAACAUCAUUUUUAGAUGUCACUCUAGAUGAGCUGAUCUGGCGCACUUGUUAUUUCUGCUUAAAGGUACAGCCCAGGCUGGGCACAGUGGCUCACUUCUGUAAUCUUGUAAUCCCAGCACUUUGGGAGGCUGAGACAGGUGAAUCACCUUGGUCAGGAGUUUGAGACCAGCCCGGCCAACAUGGUUAAACCCCAUCUCUACUAAAAUAUAAAAAUUAGGCCAGGCACAGUGACUCAUGCCUGUAACCCCAGCACUUUGGGAGGCUGAGGCGGGUGGAUCACCUGAGUUCAGGAGUUCGAAACCAGCCUGGCUAACAUGGCAAAAACCCCGUCUCUACUAAAAAUACAAAAAUUCGCCAGGACUGGUGGUGCGUACCUGUAACCCCAGCUACUUGGGAGGCUGAGGCAGGAGAAUCACUUGAACUCAGGAGGCCAAGAUCACGCCACUGCACUCCAGCCUGGAUGACAGAGUGACACUCCGUCUCAAAAAAAAAGUACAGCUUGGAAUGUUUUAAAACGACAAACCUAAUAUUCAAAACAUUUUACAACUGCAGAACAAUUCCUCUGGUGAAAGAUCUUUGAAUGCCAAUGGACCAAGCCAAAUUUUAGCAAAAUAAUGCCACAAGUAUAGUGUGUGAAAUCCAUGCAACGAACAAGACUUCCUUCAAACAAAAUCAAGGCAAGUGCGCGGUCUGACCUGUUAAGGUGGCGGCAUUGAGGAUGACCUUCGGGUUAAACGUGUGUGCGUAACAGAGCGCAUCAGCCAGUAUGAGCCUCCCCUCAGCAUCAGUGUUAUCAACCUGCAGAGGGUCAAAAACAGAAAGGGUGACAGCGCAAGUAAAGAAUAUGAAAACUAGACACUUGCAACAGUGUUCGACGGAAAAGUUGGAAAAAGCUACUGUGACGUGUGUCAUUAUCAAACCAUUCAUACUUCAAUGAGAAUAGGAACAUAUCUAAUCUGGAGAGCAAAUAUGAUUUAAUAAUCCCCCAGCACCUUGGGAGGUAGAGGUGGGCAGACAGCUUGAGCCCAGGAGCUCGACACCAGCCUAGGCAAGAUGGUGAAACCCCAUUUCUAAUUAAAAAUAAAAAAAUAAUAAUAUAAUAAUCACUGUACCAGAGCUGAUGACCUAAUGUUGAUGACUUUGGAAGCCAAAAUAAAUAGAAAAAUGUCUAGUCCAUUUUACCCGUAACUUUGUAACAAGAAGGGGAAAAAUGUAAAGAUUUCCAAAAAUGAGGUUAAAGAGCUUUAAGAAAGCUACAGCUACAUGGCAGUCUCAAUCCUAGAAAUGAAAACUCUUGCAACUUCAGUAACACUUCCUAACUAUAUUCCUUUCUUUUAAAUAGAGGUCCAGUCGUUUUCUGAGUGGCUUGUACACACCUGCAUGCACGUGCCACCCAGAGGACCUGCUGCCACAUCCCCUUCAGUGCAGGGCCCAUGAUGUAGGACAGUAUGUUCUACCUCAACACCUACAAUGGAAAAAAGUCACUCAUAGCACAGGUAUAUCCAGAAGAUAGCCCACAAUUUUACUGCUUUGCCGCCCUCUGCAGGGCUGGCAGCAAAUUCAUGGAAACGUGUGUAUACACAUGUAUAGCAUACAGGAAAUGGGAGGAACAAUAAGUCUGGAAAAACAUUCUUCAAAAUCCCCCAAAAAAGAUACUUCUGCCUUUGCAAGAAAAGCUACUCAGGGGCCGGGAAUGGUGGCUCGCGCCUGUAAUCCUAGCACUUUGGGAGAACAAGGUGGGCAGAUCACUUGAGUCUAGGAGUUUGGGACCAGCCUGGGAAACAUGGCAAAACCCUGUGUCUACAAAAAGCUAGCCAGGCAUGGUGGCACGCACCUGUGGUCCCAGCUACUCAGGUCGCUAAGGUGUGAGGACCACCUGAGCCUGGGGAGGUCAAGGCUGCAGUGAGACAUGAUCACGCCACUGCACUACAGCCUGGGUGAUGCAGCGAGACCCCAUUUCAGGAAAGGGAAGGAAAAGAAAGGCUACCCAGCACUAAAGACAGCACCCUCCCCUAAUAUGGUUCUGGGGCUCUGCACGCAUCCUAGCUGUGGUUAUGUGGCCACCACGGGAUUCCUGAGGAACGCUGGAUGGGGAGUGCUGUGUCUCACAUUUACAAACCUGGAUGGUCUUCCCGUUUUUGGCUCUAACAACAUCCCCCGGCUUGUUGGCCUUGCCGCUGGGCAUAUUUUCACAAAGAGGGGCCAGACCUAUUGGAAAUAAUAUAUGAAGGCACACAGUAUAUACUGGGUCCAAACAUGCCACCUAUGGGACAAGAGGCCACCUGUGAGCCAUGAGAAGCAAGACACAAAGGCCACCUUAACGAACUGAUCAAAUUUAACAUCACCAAUGACACAACUGACAUGAUGUGUCAGCAACAAGAAGUACACAUCACCCAUGUAGCAUUCUUCCCAAAGAAGUCUAACUUGAUUCUAAUCAAGAAGAAGCAAUUCAAAUAAAUACAAAUUGCAGAAUAUCAUGAAACAAGCCUAGACCCUUCAAAACUGCUAAUGCCGUGGAAGAAAACAGGAAUAGGGUCUAGAAUCAAGAAAUCUAAAGGGGCACCAACAGCAAUGUGUGGUCCUUGAUUAGUUUCUGGAUUUAAAAGCUAAAUAUAGGCCAGGCGCGGUGGCUCAUGCCUGUAAUCCCAGCAUUUUGAGAGGCCAAGGCGGGCAGAUCACCUGAGGUCAGGAGUUCAAGACCAGCCUGAUCAACAUGGAGAAACCCCGUCUCUACUAAAAAUACAAAAUUAACCAGGCAUGGUGGCGCAUGCCUGUAAUCCCAGCUACUCAAGAGGCUGAGGCAGAAGAAUCACUUGAACCCGGGAGGUGGAGGUUGUGGUGAGCCAAGAUCGCGCCAUUGCACUCCAGCCUGGGCAACAAGAGCGAAACUCCAUCUCAAAAAAAACCAAAAAACCAAAAAAACCUAAAUAUAAAUAAAUAAAAUGGACAUUUUUUACACAACUGGAAACUUGAAUUAGGUUACUGAAUUAAUCCUCGGAAAAGAUAAUGGUUUUGUCAUUACAUAGAAUGUCCUUUUUCUUAGAGGACGUGUCGUGAUGUCUGCAACUGACUUUUAAAUAGUUCAGGAAAAAAAAGGACUAUGAUAGUGAAGGAGGGGGGCAUGUCUGAGACCUGGAUUCCAAUUCUACCUUCCUUGUGCAAUGGACAAGAGUCAGGGCAUUAUUAUUUAACCUAAGACUCUCUCCUCCUUCCCCGUCUCCUCUGAAAUGAGUAUGAGCAAUGCUAUUAUACAAACUCCCAGUACUGUGCCUGGGAGUUUGUAUCUUCCAUUACUAAGAACUGCCACAUAAUGAGCACUUUUUCUGUUCUAGGCACUUUCUGUGUGUUGUGCCAUUUCACCGGCCACAAUCCUACGAAGCAAUCAGUCAAUGAGCCAGCAACGUCCUGCCACCCCAAGUACCCAGCAAGUUUCAUAAUGUCAACUACAAACUUGACAUUAUGUGCCCCUGACUGCUAGCCACUUUUUGCAGAAGUGAAACAAAUCAAUUCCAGUUACAGCCCACUGGUUGCAAGAUACAUUUAGCUCAAUCAGCUCAGACAGUAAAACACUUAUCUGGGCUAAAUAGCUACUGCUUGAUGACUAUUUAAAAAUCAUUUCUUAUCUUUUCAGAUUAGGGGAAAUCAUAUCUGUUGUCUCUCUUCUCCCACCUGGCUAGAAUCCAGAAGCGUUAUGAGAUGUAAUCCGUUACCCCACUUACCUAUAAUAUUAAUGGGCAAAUUAAGCUUUGCAGCAGACACGAUGGCUGAGCAUAUAGUUGCAGCUCCUCCCAUGUCAGCCCUCAUGAGGUCCAUAUUUGCAGAAGCCUUGAUGGAGAUACCACCACUAUGGGGAAAUGGACAACGUGCAAUAUUAAGAGCAAAGAAGAUGGCCAAAAUCACUUUAUUUAAAAAGUACAGAUGGGCACGGUGGCUCACGCCUGUAAUCCCAGCACUUUGGGAGGCCGAGGUGGGCGGAUCACGAGGUCAGGAGAUCGAGACCAUCCUGGCUAACACGGUGCAACCCAUCUCUACUAUAAAUACAAAAAAAUUAGCCGGGUGUGGUGGUGGGCGCCUGUAGUCCCAGCUGCCACCAUGCCUGGCUAAUUUUUUUGUGAUUUUAGUAGAGAUGGGGUUUCACCUUGUUAGCCAGGAUGGUCUCGAUCUCCUGACCUCGUGAUCCGCCAGCCUCGGCCUCCCAAAGUGCUGGGAUUACAGGCAUUAGCCAUCGCGCCCAGCCUUUAGCUCAUUUUAUUUCUACUUGAAUGAAAUUUAAACAGUGCCACUGGAAACAUUACUAUAUCAUAAAAUCAAGACUGUGCAAAUUCCAUCUCUGUAUUGUCUGAUUAACUCCUGACACCCACAUAGUCUAUUCAGCAAAUUUUAUGAAUUGAUCAACUUAUGGAACGUGAAGGUCAUGAGCUGUUAAGAAAAGCUGAUGAGCUCACAGAGAUGACUGGAGGCAUUUCUCUGAAACCGACAGGACAGAGGGCUAACAUUUCCUUCCAACACUGCACAAGGUGUGCUAUAUCCUGCUGAUGGCAAAAUACAACCUAAAUGAGGCACAGGCCCAAUGGCUGAGAGACAGUACUUCAACAUGAGAACUGAAUAAGGCUGCAAUUAGCAAGAAACCAAACUACCUGACCCCCAGAGGCUUCUAACUAGCUAGUGGUUUUUCUGCUUCCAGUCCGUAGGAGUCCAGAAGCAACAUGCUUCACAGGCCAAGCACAGAGCCAGGGGCUUCGACUCUAAGUUCUAAUUGAGAUCUGCUGCUCAUGUGCCCUGGUGGCUCACUGGAGAGAGGUCUGCCUGCUGCUCUGAAGUCUGCUUUCCUUCAAAAUUAAAUCCUAAUUCUCACUUACCUCAGAAGCACUUGUUACUUAGAUGGUUGGCAUGUUCACCAAGAAUUAAAGAUGAUCCCCUGGCUCAAAGAAGAAAAAUAACAUGGGUAAACCCCAUGGACAAAGGGAACACGCUGUUGUAUUUGAAGUUUUUCUUCUGUCCACCUGCCACAUUUAUCUGCAGGCCUCUUCUGGAAGUUCUGCUCUCUAAUUCCUAUGACUAUGGUUCUAAGGUAGCCACCAGUUAAAGAUCAGCAAUCAGCUUUGGCUCACUUUUUCAAUCUCUCUCAAAUCCACCCACUUAUUUUCUACUCAGCCGCCCUCAUUGAUGCUACUACCCUCUGUCAUUUGGAUGUUUGUCAGGUCUCCUUAACGGGUCUUUCUGUAUCAGUCUCACCACUGUCAUUUCAUUAACCAUAAAAACAGCACAUUUUUACACACACACAAAAUCUAUCUCAAUCAAAAUCUCAGUAGGUUUUGUUGUGUGAAAAAACAAGCAGAUUCACCGAGUGUGGUGGCUCACGCCUGUAAUCCCAGCACUUAGGGAGGCUGAGGCAGGCAAAUCACUUGAGCCCAGGAGUUCGAGACCAGCUUGGGCAACACGGCAAAACCCCAUCUCUAUAAAAAAUACAAAAAUUAGCUGGGCAUAGUGGUUCGCAUCUGUAGUCCCAGCUACUCGGGAGGUUGAGGUGAGAGGAUCACCUGAGCCCAGGGAGGUCGAGGCUGCAGUGGGCCAAGAUUGCACCACUGCACUCCAGCCUGGGCAACAGAGUGAGACACUGUCUCAAAAAAAAAAAAAAAAAAAACCCAAGCAGAUUCUAAAAUGUAUAUGAAGAUGCAAAGGAUGUAGCCAAAGUCAUUCUGAAAAAGAAGAGCAAAGCUGGAGGACUCAUGUGACUAGAUUUCAAGCCUACUCAAAGCUGCAGUAAUCAAGAUAUUUGGUCUUCAGGCACUGGUGAAAGGAUACAGAGCCCAGAGGCAGACCUACAAUUAUAUGGACAACUGAUUUCCACCCGAGGUGCCAAGGUAGUCUAGUGGGGAAAGGACAGUCUUUUCAACAAACAGUGCAGAAGUAAAUGAACAGCCACAUAGGAAAAAAAAAAGACAAAAACAAACCAGGUCUUUUCACACCAUACACAAAGAUUCAAAGUGAAGCAUAGCGUCAAAAUCUAAAACUCACUUAAAAUGAAAUAUAUUUUUAAAAAACCUUACAAUUCUGUAAAGCCAACACUCCUAUAAAAAGGGGCAAAAGAUUUGAAUACCUUACUACAGAAGAUAUACCAAUGUCCAAUAAGCACAUUAAAAAAUGCCCAGCUUUGGCUGGGUGUGAUGGCUCAUGCCUGUAUCCCAGCACUCUGGGAGGCUGGGGCAGGCAGAUCACUUGAGAUCAGGAGUUUGAGACCAGCCUGGCCAACAUGGUGAAAACCCGUCUCUACUAAAGAUGCAAAAAUUAGCCAGGCAUGGUGGUGUGUGCCUAUAGUCCCGGCUACUCGGGAGGCUGAGGCAGGAGAAUUGCUUGAACCCAGAAGGCGGAGGUGCAGUGAGCCGAGGUGCACUCCAGCCUGGGUGACAGAGCGAGACUCCGUCUCAAAAAAUAAAAAAUGACCGACUUCAUUAGUCACUAGAGAAAUGCAAAUUAAACCACAAAGAGAGAUCACUGUAUACUCACUGGUACAGCUAGAAUUAUAAAGACUGACAAUAUCAAAUACUGAGGAAGGUGUAGAACAAUUAGAAUCUUUGUACAUUGAUGGUAGAAGUGAAAAUGUACCCGCUUUGGAAAAGUUUGGUAGUUUCUUAAAAGUUAAACACUCAGUUAUUAUACAACACAGUGGCUGUUUUCCUAGGUAUUUACGCAAGAGUAAGGAAAACACGUCCACACAAAGGCUUACAGAUGCUCUUAACUUUAUUCCUAAUAGCCUAAAACUGGAAACAACACAAAUUUCCACCAAUAGAUGAAUGGGUAAACAAAAUUUGGCAUUUCCAUACAAUUGAACACUACUCAACAAUAGAAAAGAAGAAUGGCUGACAUGACCAACAACAUAGAUAAACCCCAGAUACUACGCUGAAAGAAGCCAGACAUCAAAGACUGCAUUUAUAUGACUUUCCGGAAUAGGCAAAACUAAUCUGCAGUAAUAGGAAGAUGAUCGGCUGUCUGGAGCAAGGGCAGGUGGGGAAUGACUACAAAAAGGCAGAAGGGAACUUCUGGGGGAUGAUAAAAAUGUUGUAUUUUCCUGACAGUGGUGAACGGUGCAUAGGUGUAUACAUUUGUUCUUUGGUUUUUAAAAUCAAUCUAUCUACCUAUCUAAUCUAUCUAUUUAUUUAUUUAAAGAUGGUGUUUUACUAUGUUGCACAGGCUGCUCUUGAACUCCUGGGCUCAUGUAAUCCUCCUACCUCAGCUUCCCAAGUAGCUGAGAUUACAGGUGUAUGCCACUGCACCCCCCCAAGGUGCACACAUUUGUUAAAACUCAUUGAGCUGGCCACUUAGAGGGUGAAUUUCACUGUAUGUAUAAAUCUCACGUCAUUCUGUUUGGUGGAAACCCUUCAGUUACGGCCAACUGUUCUCAGAGCAGAGUGCAAAAAUCUAAGCAGGCCCGCAGCGACCAAGCUUCUGUGUACCUCUCUAGCCGUAUCUUGCCCCUUCUCUCCAUCACGCUCUUGUGUGCAGGCACACUGGUACUCUUGCCAUACCAGGAAUUUACCCUGCUCCUUCCCACCUUACAGCCUUCACCAUGUUUCCCUGCACUAGAAUGCCUGUCCCUAGUCUCUCCUGAGCUAAUUCCUCCUGAUUCUUCACAUCUUCAGCUAAAACUGACACUCCUGCAAGGAAACCUUCUCUAAACCCAAAGAAGGCUUUGGGUUUAGGCCUCUUUGUUUUUAUUCUCAGCAAAAAUUACAAAUGUGGACUUAAAUUAACAAUAAACUUCACCCUUAGCAUAAAAAUAUUUGUGUCACAAUUGGCAAGACAUUUAGUCUAGGGCCAGGUGUGGUGGCUCACACCGGUAAUCCCAGCACUUUGGGAGGCCAAGGUGGGGGGAUCACGAGAUCAGGAGUUUGAGACGAGCCUGGCCAACAUGGUGAAACCCCAUCCCUACCAAAAAUAGAAAAAAAUUAGCCAGGCGUGGUGGCAGACACCUGUAAUCCCAGCUACUCGGGACUAAAAAUACAAAAAAAAUUAGCCAGGAGUGGUAGCAGGCACCUGUAAUCCCAGCUACUCGGGAGGCUCAGGCAGGAGAAUCACUUGAACCAAGGAGGCAGAGGUUGCAAUGAGCCAAGACUGCGCCAAUGCACUCCAGCCUGGGCAACAGAGCAAGAUUCCGUCUCAAAAAACAAAACAAAACAAAAGUUUAGGCUGGGUGUGGUGGCUCACACCUGUAAUCCUAGCACUUUGGGAGGCCAAGGCAGGCAGAUUGCUUGAGCUCAGAAGUUCAAAACCAGCCUGGGCAACAUAGCAAGACCACGUCUCUACUAAAAAAAAAAAAAAAAAAAAAAAAAGUUUAACUUUCUAAAUUGUGUUUGCUGUAUUGUUUUUAUAAUACACACUUUAGUGGCCAGGCGCAGUGGCUCACGCCUGUAAUCCCAGCAGUUCAGGAGACCGAGGCGGGCAGAUGACGAGGUCAGGAGAUCGAGACCACCUGGCUAACAAGCUGAAACCCCAUCUCUACUAAAACUACAAAAAAUUAGCCGGGCAUGGUGGCGGGGGCCUGUAGUCCCAGCUACUCGGGAGGCUGAGGCAGGAGAAUGGUGUGAACCCGGGAGGCGGAGCUUGCAGUGAGCCGAGAUUACGCCACUGCACUCCAGCCUGGGCAACAGAGCUAGACUCUGUCUCAAAAAAAUAAAUAAAUAAAAUAAUAGACACUUUAGUACAAUAGUAUAAUGCAUAUAACUUAUAAAAAAGCAUGCAUAUUUUCAAAGGGAUGCACUCAAGAUCUUUUACUGAUGGGCUAUACCAGGAAAACCAUUUGGAGAUCAAUGCUUUAAAGGAGAAAAUGUGAACUAGUGGGUGGGAGACACAAGGAGGCACUUUGACCUGCUAACACAAGGAGACCACACUGACAGCAAGCUAUGCCAAUGACAGGGGCUUCCUACGUCUAGAAGCAUUCCAGAAAGGGCACAAAAAUGUACAAGGGGACAUCAACAUCGUAUGGUUCUCUAGCAGCAUUUUCCAAAGUAGUUUCCAGGUAACAUGAUUCCCAGGAAUCAGGGUUCCUUCAAAAGGAAAUACAGAAAAUGCUAUAUUCUGUACCCUGAGAAGUCCUGUAGUUAAGCAAAUAAAACAAAAAUGAAACCCCUCAUGGGUUUCUCUAACCUAGUUUUUUUGCUAAGUAGCCCUUUUUACGUCUCAUACUCGCUGGCAUCCCUGAAACUUGUGUUUGGUGGCAAAUGCUUCCCAUGGGAAAUACCAAACUCCACUAUCUUUCUCAGUUCAGCCUCUCCUUGGCUGAAAUAACCAGAUACAGUUUCCAACUCUAAGAAAUACUUAUGGUUGAAUAAGAUUAAUGGGAGCUAGACUGGUCAGCUAAAAGAAGUAAUCAUCUGAAGCAAGCAAAGGGAAGACAGCAUAAUACAAACAGGGGCAUCACCACUAACCUCGUGGAGAAUCUUUAACAGCCACAGAGGACAAGCAAAGUGCAUGGCAGAAAAAUCUGAAGACACUUUAGGCAGAGCACAAUGGCUCACACCUAUAACCCCAGCACUUUGGGAGGCUGAGGUGGGAGGAUUGCUUGAGACAGCAGUUUAAGACCAGUUUGGGCAACACAGUGAAAACUCAUCUCUAUAUUUUUUUUAAAAAAAGGACACGACACACCUGAGUUUGACUUCGGACUCCACUUACUAGUUAUAGGACUUUGAACAAAUUAUUUAAACUCUGAGUCAUGGUUUCUUUACCUGGAGAAUGUCUACAAUACCUAGCCCACAGGGGUAUGGUUAGGGCUAACACAUGCAAAAUACCUGAUAGUCUCUGACAUAUUCUAAGCAUUUUAGAGGUGGUAGCAUAAUAAAUUUAAAGUAAUGUAUACCUUCAACCAAACACCAUGCUUUUGUAUCAAACUAUAAACCGGCCAGGCACAGUGGCUCAUGUCUGUAAUCCCAGCAUUUUGGGAGGCUGAGGUGGGCGGAUCACUUGAGGCCAAGAGUUCAAAACCAGCCUGGCCAACACGGCAAAACCCCAUCUCCACUAAAAAUGCAAAAAUUAGCUGGGUGUGGUGGUGCACGCCUGUAAUCCCAGCUACUUGGGAGGCUGAGGCACAAGGAUUGCUUGAGCCUGGGAGGCAGAGGCUGCAGUGAGCCGAGAUCACGCCACUGCACUCUAGCCUGGGUGACAGGGUGAGACUCUGCCUCAAAAAAAAAAAAAAAUCAAACCAAAAAACCCUAUAACCAAGUAAUUAAACUGCACACAAAUAAUUCACCAAAAUACAAAGCACGGACACCAUAAAAAAUACCUGUCAAAGGUAAUUCCUUUCCCAACAAACACCAGGGGUGGUUCGUUUGCAUUGGGGCUGCCUUUGUAGUGAAUUUCCAAGAAGACUGGGGGCUCGUCAGAUCCUUUGGCCACACUGAGGAAUGAUCCCAUUGCCUGUUCCUCAAUCCAAGACUUGGGUCUAUAGGGUAGAAAGAGGGAAAAAGUAAAUAUACUGUUACCUUUAUUUCAAAAUAACAGAAAAAGCUCAUCACAGUGUGUGAAAAAGUAUAAUAUACAAACUCUUAAAGUAUACGCACAUUAAGGUUUCAAUUAUCAGGUCCCAUUAUUUGCUUUCUGUAUAUUCUUGGGCAAGUCACUUGAUUCUAAGCCUAUUUCCUCAUCUAUAAAAUGAGGUCUGUAAUUCUUCCAUCAAAAGAUUAUUGAAUUACUAAGAGAAGUCAUGUGUGGUACCUAAUACAAUGUCAACUAAUAGUCUACAGUCUAUAUAAUUAAUUUCCUCUCUCCAAUCUACUCAGAUAUUUCUACAAUUUUAAUUUAAAGAUGAAGUUAGAAGGCCGGGUGCGGUGGCUCAUGCCUGUAAUCCCAGCACUUUGGAAGGCUGAGGUGAGAGAAUUGCUUCAGCUCAGGAGUUUGAAACCAGCCUGGGCAAAAAAGUGAAACUGUCUCUAAAACAAAUAAGGUAAGAUAUAAUAAAGAUGAAAUUAGAGGCCAAUGAAGGAGGAUCACUUGAGGAUAGAAAUUUGAGACCAGCCUAGGCAACAAGUUGAGACUUGGUCUCUACAGAAAAAAAAAAAAGAAAAAAUUAGCCAGGCAUGUUGGUGCCUGCCUAUUGUCCUAGCUACUGCAGAGGCUAAGACAAGAGGCUCGCUUGAGCCCUAGAGGUCAAGGCUGCAGUGAGCCACGAUCUCGCCACAGCACCCAACCUGGGCAACAUAGCAACACCCUGUCUCUUAAAAAAAUAAAAUUAGCAAUAGGCUCUGAGACCACAAAGAGUGCUUAAAGAUAGGUAAGGGGUCCAUUGCUUUAUUUCUAAAAAUGAAAAAAAAAAAAAAUCAACCAACAGACAGCAAACCAAAGCUAUAUCCCAAUGACUGGAAAAAAAAUAUCCUAUUUAUUUGCUUUUUAAGAACUGUUGAAUUCUAUCUUUUUAAUGUUGUCACACACUGUUUCUCACAGUUUCAACUGUUGCUUGAGGCAUCUUUAAGUGAGAAAACUAGUUAGUUCUUACUUAAUAAACAUGGGAUCGGUGGGGUAACAGAAUGGAAACAGUCCUUAGUUCAAACUAGAAAACUGAUGCCAUAUUGCUCUUCUUUCUAGGCUAGGAGCACAAAAGGGCUUUGUAUUGAUUUCUGGCCACGGUAACUAGGCCAAGAAAGAAAUUCUAUCCUCCUGCAGACCAGCAACAACCACAGCCAAGGAAUGCUCCUCCGGCAUUUGCCAUCCACUUGUUAAAAUGAUUAAACUAGGACUGCAUCAUGGUGGGAUGACCAGCACACUUCAAAGGGAAAAAAAUUUUAAAUCGGAAGAUGAAACAGUUUUAAAAAUCACUUCAAAAAAAAAAAAAAAACAACAACAACAAGGCUGUGCAAUGUGGGCAUUUUAAAUCAUUAACUCAGUACUUGAUGUCUGAUUAAAGUCCUGCCCUUGUGGAAGAACUGCCUGUGUUUCUCUGAUAUACACUGACCUACAAUGGAGAGUGCUUAGCGCGGCUAUGUCUCAGUUUAACGAGUCAUACCCCACCCAUGCGUCCUGCCUGGUCUCUGCUGAACUCUUUUCCCUUUGCUCGGCUACAAGUUUUGCAGCUUCCUCACCUGAACUGUCCUGCCCCACUCUCUUGUACUGUAACUUCUAAGCAACCUGCAGGACUCUCCUUAGGCUCCAGUCUUUUUUUGAGACACAGUGUCUCUCUGUCGCCCAGGCUGGAGUGCAGCGGUGCGAUCUCAGCUCACUGCAACCUCCAUCUCCCAGAUUCAAGCAAUUCUUGUGCCUCAGCUUCCCGAGUAGCUGGGAUCACAGGCACGCACCACCACUCCCAGCUAAGUUUUGUACUUUUAGUAGAGAUGGUGUUUCGCCAUGUUGGCCAGGCUGGUCUUGAAUUCCUGACCUCAAGUGAUCCACCUGCCUCAGCCUCCCAAAGUGCUGGGAUUACAGUCAUGAGCCACCAUGCCUGGCCUAGACUCCAUAUUCUUAUUAAAAUUUUUAUUUUAGAGAUGGGUCUUGCUAUGUUCCCUAGGCUGGCCUUGAACUUCUGGACUUGACAGACCCUCCUGCCUGCCUCUUGAGUAGCUGCAAAUAGAGGUGUGCACAAUCGCACCAGCAGCUUCAUAUUCUUUGGCAGUCCCCCUCAUCCCUCUGAUCCUGCAGUACCCUCUGCAAAUGCCAUUUACCUCCCUAUUCCUUCUUACAACAUCCUCACUUUCUGCAAGGACAAGGACCACUUCAUGCAUCUUUGUAUGAUAAAUUCCAGGCACACCAGAGGGGCUGUCAUAACCACUAUUUGGUGACCAAAAAGAUACUUUUAUAGAACCUAAACAUUGCUAUAGAUUAAACAUAUACUAACCAUUCCAGAAAUUUUAUCAAGCUCUAAGUACUGUGCUUUCUACAGACUAUUAAUUUUUCUUCACUCUGUCUAAACCAUAGAUGCUUUCCUGAAAAACACGAACUCUAAUCACAAUUAAGUACUAAAGAAUUCUUUUAAAUGGAAGUACCCUUGGGAAACAACUUUGACAAUAAAGAAUUCUUUAGGUCAAACAAAUACCUGUUCAUUUGUUUUAAUUAUAAAUUCCCAAAUGCUCAGAGUUGGUUUGCUUAAAGGGCUGGAGAUCCCAAGAGAGCGACGGAACUGGACGAGCAG